UUUCCGUAGGUGAACCUGCGGAGGAUCAUUAACCUGUCACCCAGUAAUGCUGCCGCGUGAACUGUACAAACCCCCUCUGUGUACCUCUCCUGUUGCUUCCGCUGAGCCUGGCGCAUUUCAGAUGAGUUGUCUCUCGCACAGUCAAUUGCUGGGUGGGGUUGGCAACUCUCGGUGACUGCUCUGGAUUCACAUGCCCAGCGGGAGGAUACUUAAUUUCCGAAAUUACUAUUUCAUCUGUCUGAACUAUGAACCAAAAAAAAAAUUGUUAAAACUUUCAGCAACGGAUCUCUUGGUUCUC
rnacentral:misc_RNA from 1 species